GGUGAACCUGCUGCUGGAUCAUUACA
rnacentral:rRNA from 1 species